rnacentral:rRNA from 1 species
UAGGGAAUCUUCGGCAAUGGACGGAAGUCUGACCGAGCAACGCCGCGUGAGUGAAGAAGGUUUUCGGAUCGUAAAGCUCUGUUGUAAGAGAAGAACGAGUGUGAGAGUGGAAAGUUCACACUGUGACGGUAUCUUACCAGAAAGGGACGGCUAACUACGUGCCAGCAGCCGCGGUAAUACGUAGGUCCCGAGCGUUGUCCGGAUUUAUUGGGCGUAAAGCGAGCGCAGGCGGUUAGCUAAGUCUGAAGUUAAAGGCUGUGGCUUAACCAUAGUAGGCUUUGGAAACUGUUUAACUUGAGUGCAAGAGGGGAGAGUGGAAUUCCAUGUGUAGCGGUGAAAUGCGUAGAUAUAUGGAGGAACACCGGUGGCGAAAGCGGCUCUCUGGCUUGUAACUGACGCUGAGGCUCGAAAGCGUGGGGAGCAAACAGGAUUAGAUACCCUGGUAGUCCACGCUGUAAACGAUGAGUGCUAGGUGUUAGACCCUUUCCGGGGUUUAGUGCCGUAGCUAACGCAUUAAGCACUCCGCCUGGGGAGUACGACCGCAAGGUUG